AGCUGCGCGUCGAGCACAUAGCGAACUAUUCUUUCGCCUUUUACUAAAGAAUACCGUGUGCUCGUCGCUUAAAAGCAGCAUACGCUACUUUUUGGAAGGUGUUUUCUUCUGUAGAAAAC